AUGGCUAGUCCGGGCGGCGGCGGUGGCGGUGGACGAAGCAGUGGUGGCAUUGUGGGCGGGUACAGAGACCUUCCCGAACUCGGGAGCGAUGCGCACAGAGGAAUCGAAAUCGACAACGGGGAGUCCAGUUCGUCAGCUUACUAUAGCGACGACGACGAGGGCAUGGAGGCGCCGCUGUCCAUGGAGCAGCGGCUGCGGCUGGCUGAGAUCUGGGUGGCUAACCCUACCAUGAGCCAUCACUGGAGCCAUGGUAUGGGUGGCAUGUUUUUGGAUGAUGUUGUUUGGGAUGCUAGGAUUCACUCUGAUGCUCAGCAUAAUUUGGAUAGGAAGAUAUGCAACUCAGAUAGUCAAAGAAGCAAUAGUAGUGCACCAGUACAACCUACUAGUAUGUGCACACAAGAGAGCAGAAAUGUCAGCAAGAGGAAGCUCAAAUCCGUGAUGGAAGAAGAGGAAGAGGAGGGAUAUAAGAAUGAAGAUUCAGAUAAGGAACAACUACACUAUGAGGGUGACAUUGAGGUUGAGGAGUUGUUUGAGAUCGAGGAGGACGAGGAGGAAGAUUCUAAGAAGGAGAAGGAACCACCCAUGAAAGCAGCUGGUAAAAAGAGGCAAAAGCUGCCAGUUAGGAGAGGGACCACCACUAGGACACAUUCUAAUGUGUUAGAGGACUUGAAACCAGAUUUCAGACCAUCAUCAGAUGAAGAAGAUAUUGGCUUGCUAUUGGAUAGUGAAGAUGAUGGAUAUAAGCCACUAGCAUUUGUCCUACCAAAAGGAAGGAAGAGUAGGGCCAUGAAAAGGCUAGCAAGGAUAUGGUAUAAUGACAAAUUGGAGCAACCACGUCAACAGUUAUGUAUGCACAUGUGUUUCAAAAACCAGCAGCAAUUCAGAGAUGCUCUAUUGAGCUUGCACAUUACACAGGCCAGAAAUUUCAGCACUACAGAGACAUCAAGGGUUAGUGCAAACUGGCUUGCACAGACAUAUGAGUCACUGUUCAGGUCUGAUCCAAACACAAGUAUUUUGACUCUGAUUGACAACUGCAAUGAGAAGUAUGGUGUUGAUGUGCCCAAGCACAUGGCCUAUAGGGCCAAAAACCUUGCUGUAGAGGCUGUUUUAGGAGAGCAAAAGAAACAAUAUCCCAGGCUAAGGGACUAUGCUCAAACAAUUAUGGAUACAAACCCUGGGAGUAGAGUUAUAGUUACAACUAUAACUCCAAAACCUACUACAAAAAUACCACAUCCAGGACCAAGGUCUCAUGCUAUGUUCUUCUGCAUCAAUGGAGCAAGGGAGGGCUUUCUCAGUGGAUGCAGACCAUUCAUAGGUGUUGAUGGCUGCUUUAUUAAGCUCACCACUGGAGCUCAAAUACUUGCUGCCACUGGCAGAGAUGGCAACAACAACAUUUUCCCACUGGCAUUUGGUAUUGUUGGACAAGAGGAUACAACAAACUGGUGUUGGUUUCUGCACCAACUGAAGAUAUGUUUAGGAGGAGAAGGUGGAAAAUUUGGUCCUUAUACUAUCAUGUCUGAUAGACAGAAUAAUAAGCAUAUGGCGAGGUGGCAUAGGAAUAGAGAGAGUGGAAAGGCAGCUCUAUGGGAGAUCACACCCCAUUAUGCUGAGAAGUUAGAGGUGGAAAAGGAAAGGGCCAGAUUCUGUAAACCCAUUCAAGCUAGUGUUAAUCUAUGGCAAGUAACCAGUGGGCAGCAAACACAUACUGUCAACUUGGAACUUCAUACAUGUGGUUGCAGAAAGUGGGACCUGAGUGGCACACCAUGCAACCAUGCAAUAUCAGCAAUUAACAAGGCAAAAAGGUUUACAGAGGACUAUGUGUGCAAAUUCUUCAAAAAACCUUUUUACCUAGCAGCAUAUGAACCAAUGAUAUAUCCUAUUCCUGGUGAACAUGAUUGGACAAAGACAACAGGACCAGACACAGAGCCACCUAAAUUUCAUGUGAAGAAGGAAAGAAAGAAAGAGAAGAGGAUAAAGGGCAGAUUUGAGGUUCCAAAGCCAAAGGAGAGUUCAAGAAUGGCCAGUAUAACAUGCAAAAACUGUGGGCUCCAAGGCCAUAGGCAUGUAGAAGAUAAAGGAAUGUUGAUGAAGCACAGGCUACACCUGCAAGAGCACAGGCUGCACCUGCUAGAGCAUAGGCUGCACCUGCUAGAUCACAUGCAGCACCUGCUAGAUCACAGGCUGCUCCUGCUAGAUCAUAACAUCCUUAUGCAAGGCAUGCUGUUGCAAGGCAUUCAAGGCCUUUCUCUCCACCAAGAGCUGCCGCUGGGGCUUCCACUUCCGGUGCUUCCACUUCUGCUGGCCCUACACGUCAUUCUGGAUGGAUGGCCUUCUUUACUACAAGUGGAAAUACCUGAGUGUCAUGAGCCAUGUUUCUAA
rnacentral:rRNA from 1 species